rnacentral:lncRNA from 10 species
AGAGAAUUGCCUUGUUUGUGAAAUACUACAGAAAAACCUGUAUUUUCUCCAGAAAAUGAAAGGUCUUGGCCUGAGUAAAUCAAGGCAGAAAACUCACCCCCGUGAAAGCUGCAGCUCUGAGAGUGUGUGGGCAGGGCUUCAACAGAAUACCUGUGGCUGCACUUACAAAAGGCAGCCAGAAGGACCCGUCCAUUCUGGAAAGUACCUUUAGUCUGAAAGCAUUUAUUGCAGAAAAAAUAUGAGGCUUGCUGGUAGUAUUCCCAGGUGACAAAUGUGCACCCAACACCCUACAGAAAAGAAGAACCAUAAAAUAAUUAAUUAUUCCAUUGUAACUCCUGCCUGGAAAACAUCUGAAAGAAGUCACUAGAUUCAGCCCACAUUCAAGAUGAGAAAUACCAGAAGGCAGAGAACACUGAGGCUGUUUUAGAGGCUGUCAACCCCAGGGAGACAGACAGCAAAUAAGAUGCUUGGAUGUUUUCACACCACUCUGACACAUGGAUGGAAGGUUAGAAGACAACAAAGGAAUGGGCUGGGAAGGACUCCAAAAGCAGAAUCAGAGAUUAUAUCAUUCCUUGGAAAUGGAGAAAAGGAUCAAAAAAGCUGAAUAAAAGGUAGUCC